GGAGUAGAGUUAUGUCUGCCUUCUUGAAUA
rnacentral:tRNA from 1 species